ensembl:lncRNA FAM245B family with sequence similarity 245 member B
AGAACACUGGCCAGAGGGUCAGAAGAGCUGACUCGUGGACAUUCUCAUUGCGGGCGCAGGUCAGUUGCCGUGAUGCUCCUUGAGUCAAUGAGCUCUUUGGUCUGCUCUUCUGCUCAAGCAGAAAAUGAUCUGCGCUUCACCCUUGAGAAGCUGACAAGAACCACAGGCUUCUUCAGGCUCUAGCCUGAUUUUCUGGCUCAUAAGGCCAAAGGGAGCUGGAAAGGUCCCCACGGCAGGACUCAUGGUGGAGAGAGAAUGAUCUAGAGGAUUCAGGCCUCUGCACACUGUGUCUGGGUCCCUCCUUAAAGAAUGAUAAAGACAAGUAAAGAGCUUGAAGCAGCCUGGAGUCCAGCCAGAAACCUUUAACUGAGCUUUAAAGGAGAUGGUCACAACACUUUUCAGAAUACUGGCAAAGGCCUCCUGUGGCCAAGUUUGUCCUGGGAUGAGCAAAAUUUAAUGUUAACCUGCUGUAUCUUUGCUUUUAAUAUAUCUGCUUGCCCAUCACAAUGAUAUUAUGGUUAAUUUCACCAAUUUGGUAACCUGCCUCUUGGGAAGUACGAAAGUAAGCAAGGGCCAGGUAUGGUGACUCACGCCUGUAAUCCCAGUACUUUGGGUGGCUGAGGUGGGUGGAUUGCUUGAGCCCAGGAGUUCAAGACCAACCUGGGCACCAUGACAAAACCCCGUCUCUACAAAAUAUACAAAAAUUAACCAGGAGUGGCAGUGCAUGGCUGUAAUCCCAGCUACUCGGAGGCUGAGGUGGGAGAAUCUCUUGAGCCUGGGAGGCAGAGGUUGCAGUGAGCUGAGAUCACACCACUGCAUUCCAGCCUGGGCAAUGAAGUGAGACCCUGUCUCAAAAAAAAAAAAAAAAAAAAAAAAAGAGAAAGACAGUGAGGGUGUCCUGUGAAUCAAAUCUUUGAAUGGAUGUUUUCUUAACUAACCAAGACCUCUGUAAGAAUUCUGUCUUUGAUUCCACAAUAAAGUGGUGUGAAAUUACUAUAAGCAAA